rnacentral:rRNA from 1 species
GCGUGAAGUCGGAAUCGCUAGUAAUCGCGGAUCAGCAUGCCGCGGUGAAUACGUUCCCGGGCCUUGUACACACCGCCCGUCACACCAUGAGAGUCGGGAACACCCGAAGCCCGUAGCCUAACAGCAAUGAGGGCGCGGUCGAAGGUGGGUUCGAUAAUUGGGGUGAAGUCGUAACAAGGUACC